rnacentral:rRNA from 1 species
AUUGAACACUGGCGGAAUGCUUUACACAUGCAAGUCGAACGGCAGCACGGACUUCGGUCUGGUGGCGAGUGGCGAACGGGUGAGUAAUGUAUCGGAACGUGCCCAGUCGUGGAGGAUAACGUAGUGAAAAUUACGCUAAUACCGCAUACGAUCUAUGGAUGAAAGCGGGGGAUCGCAAGACCUCGCGCGAUUGGAGCGGCCGAUAUCAGAUUAGGUAGUUGGUGGGGUAAAGGCCCACUAAGCCAACGAUCUGUAGCUGGUCUGAGAGGACGACCAGCCACACUGGAACUGAGACACGGUCCAGACUCCUACGGGAGGCAGCAGUGGGGAAUUUUGGACAAUGGGCGAAAGCCUGAUCCAGCCAUUCCGCGUGCAGGAUGAAGGCCCUCGGGUUGUAAACUGCUUUUGUACAGAACGAAAAGGUUUCUACUAAUACUAGGAGCUCAUGACGGUACUGUAAGAAUAAGCACCGGCUAACUACAUGCCAGCCGCCGCGGUAA